rnacentral:rRNA from 1 species
CAUGCAAGUCGAGCGAGAAAGUAUCUUCGGAUAUGAGUAGAGCGGCGGACGGGUGAGUAACGCGUAGGAAUCUACCUAGUAGAAGGGGAUAGCCCGGGGAAACUCGGAUUAAUACCGUAUACCUCCUAAGGGAGAAAGAGGGCCUCUCUUGAAGCUCUCGCUAUUAGAUGAGCCUGCGUAAGAUUAGCUUGUUGGUAAGGUAAUGGCUUACCAAGGCUACGAUCUUUAGCUGGUCUGAGAGGACGAUCAGCCACAUUGGGACUGAGACACGGCCCAGACUCCUACGGGAGGCAGCAGUGGGGAAUAUUGGACAAUGGGCGCAAGCCUGAUCCAGCCAUACCGCGUGUGUGAAGAAGGCCUUCGGGUUGUAAAGCACUUUAAGCAGGGAGAAAAAGCAAUAAGUUAAUACCUUAUUGCCGUGAUGUUACCUGCAGAAUAAGCACCGGCUAAUUCCGUGCCAGCAGCCGCGGUAAUACGGAAGGUGCAAGCGUUAAUCGGAAUUACUGGGCGUAAAGCGCGCGUAGGUGGUUUGUUAAGUUGGAUGUGAAAGCCCUGGGCUCAACCUAGGAACUGCAUCCAAAACUAACUCACUAGAGUACGAUAGAGGGAGGUAGAAUUCAUAGUGUAGCGGUGGAAUGCGUAGAUAUUAUGAAGAAUACCAGUGGCGAAGCGGCCUCCUGGAUCUGUACUGACACUAAAGUGCGAAAGCGUGGGUAGCGAACAGGGUUAGAUACCCUGGUAGUCCACGCCGUAACGAUGACACUAGCUGUUGGGAGACAUGUCUUUCAGUGGCGCAGCUAACGUUU